rnacentral:rRNA from 1 species
AGUGAACGCUGGCGGUAGGCCUAACACAUGCAAGUCGAACGGCAGCACAUUAAUAGCUUGCUCUUACGGGUGGCGAGUGGCGGACGGGUGGGGAAUACAUCGGAAUCUACUUUUUCGUGGGGUCUAACGUAGGGAAACUUUCCCUCAUACGGCUUACGACCUACGGGUUAAAGCAGGUGAUCUUCGAACCUUGCGCGAUUUAGUGCGCCGAUGUCUGAUUAGAUAGUUGGCGGGGUAAAGGCCCACCACGGCGACGCGCCGUAGCUGGUCUGAGAGGAUGAACAGCCACACUGGAAGUGAGACACGGUCCAGACUCCGAGGGGAGGCAGCAGUGGGGAAUAUUGGACGAGGGGGGAAAGCCUGAUACAGCAAUACCGCGUGGGUGAAGAAGGACUACGGGUUGUAAAGCGAUUUUGUUGGGAAAGAAAAGCAGCAGGUUAAUAACCGGCUGUUAUGACGGUACCCAAAGAAGAAGCAACGGCUAACUUCGUG